rnacentral:rRNA from 1 species
AAAGGAAUUGACGGGACCCCGCACAAGCGGUGGAUCAUGUUGUUUAAUUCGAAGAUACGCGAAGAACCUUACCAGGUCUUGACAUUCCCAGCAAUGCUAUAGAGAUAUAGCGGAGGUUAUCUGGGUAACAGGUGGUGCAUGGUUGUCGUCAGCUCGUGUCGUGAGAUGUUGGGUUAAGUCCCGUAACGAGCGCAACCCUCGUUGCUAGUUGCCAUCAUUAAGUUGGGGACUCUAGCGAGACUGCCAGUGAUAAACUGGAGGAAGGUGGGGAUGACGUCAAAUCAUCAUGCCCCUUAUGACCUGGGCUACAAACGUGAUACAAUGGCUGGAACAAAGGGUGGCGAAAGGGUGACCUGGAGCAAAACUCAGAAAAACAGUCUCAGUUCGGAUUGAAGUCUGCAACUCGACUUCAUGAAGCCGGAAUCGCUAGUAAUCGUGGAUCAGAACGCCACGGUGAAUACGUUCUCGGGGUUUGUACACACCGCCCGU